UCAGUUUCCAACCCACAGACAACAAGCCCAGUAAUAUUUUUCUUAUGUAUUGUCCUCUUUUUUAAAUUACCCUCAACUCAUAUGGAUUUUAUCCAUUUCAGCUCCUGAACAAGAUAGCCUACAGCUAUCAUAGGAUGACAAAGCAGUUCCUCACUACUAUAAACCUGUCUGGAUACUCAAAUCAUCAAGACAGCCAUCUCUGAAGAUACCCUAUUGCUAAAAGCUCUACUCUCCAAUACUUGAGAAAAGUUCUUCUCUGGUAUAACAUUCAAUCUACAGAAUGCCCCUCUGGGUCACUCACAAUAUUUCAGAAGAAGGUAAAUGUUGCUGUUUGUUGCAAGCAGCAUAUAAUGGUUUUCUACUGUUAUGCGGGAGCUUCCAGAUGUGGUUGACUACAAUUCCCAGAAUACCCAGCCAUCGUAAUCAUUCCCUGUGCUAGCUGGCUUCUGAUAGCUGCAGUUCAACACAUCUGGAGAAUAUCAGAGAACUGGAAGAAUUUAUCUGUUACUCCAGGGUGUGACAUUAUCAAUAUAUGGGUGAUAUCCAACAGUAUAUCAGUAUCCUGGAUCAUAUCACUGAAGCAGCUGAUGUCUUGCCUGGUAUUGGAAGCUGCAAGGAUCCGGAUGGAGUGAUAAGAGCUGAAGUUGAACCCAAGAAGGCAGAGUUUCUAUUUGCUUCCUUGGAUAAAUAUUUGCUCCUUCUUUGGUUGUGUGACUCAUGUCUCAUUUCACCUUAUCCUCCCUUGAGGGAAAAAGUCCACAAUUUAGAGAUUUUCUUGUACAUACAGCUACUGUUGCUUGGACAUGAUAAGGUGGUCCUUUGCCAAACUCCAGCUAGUGAACCAAUUCUGGCUCGAUCUUAAAACAGUAACUCAUGUUUUAGUCAUUUGGGCCUAGAGUAUUGCAAUAUGCUCUCCAUGGAAUUGUCUUUGAGGACCACAUAGAAAAAGUAAAAUUAAAUCAGGUAUAUCCUACUUCUAUACAUCAAUGAGUUUUGUUUUUUCACAAGGCUUGGGAGGGAGCAAGGAGGGGGGGGGAAUAAAAAAGAAGUAAAUCUGGCUAUUUCAAAAUGUGUAAUAUGUUUUUUAAAGGACCUUGUCCCUUGAGUGUUAAGAAGAGGCUUGAGGUAAUAACUUGGGAAUUCCUUGAAGAUAUUCCAAGAAAUAUUGAACAUAAGAAAGCAAAAAUGCCACACAGUCUCUGUGAAAGAAGAAAAGUAAACUAAAAUGAAAUUUGUCAUAUUUACACAAAAAUGGACAGUUCUGUAUAUACAAAUUUGGAAGACUUUUGGAGUCUUAUUACAUUGUUCUGAGUAAUGCUGAAUUGAUUUAAGUAAUAUUUUUAGCCUCCUGCAUAUUGGUAAUAUUAUUAGAUUUCCUUUAGAAAGUAAUUGUCACAAUGACAAAAAUAAUGUAUAGUGGUUAAAAAUAUAAUAAAACAAUAUAAUUUGU